rnacentral:rRNA from 1 species
GACGAACGCUGGCGGCGUGCCUAAUACAUGCAAGUUGAGCGCUGAAGGUUGGUACUUGUACCCACUGGAUGAGCAGCGAACGGGUGAGUAACGCGUGGGGAAUCUGCCUUUGAGCAGGGGACAACAUUUGGAAACGAAUGCUAAUACCGCAUAAAAACUUUAAACACAAGUUUUAAGUUUGAAAGAUGCAAUUGCAUCACUCAAAGAUGAUCCCGCGUUGUAUUAGCUAGUUGGUGAGGUAAAGGCUCACCAAGGCGAUGAUACAUAGCCGACCUGAGAGGGUGAUCGGCCACAUUGGGACUGAGACACGGCCCAAACUCCUACGGGAGGCAGCAGUAGGGAAUCUUCGGCAAUAGACGAAAGUCUGACCGAGCAACGCCGCGUGAGUGAAGAAGGUUUUCGGAUCGUAAAACUCUGUUGGUAGAGAAGAACGUUGGUGAGAGUGGAAAGCUCACCAAGUGACGGUAACUACCCAGAAAGGGACGGCUAACUACGUG